rnacentral:rRNA from 1 species
CCUACGGGGGGCAGCAGUGGGGGAUAUUGCACAAUGGGGGAAACCCUGAUGCAGCGACGCCGCGUGAGUGAAGAAGCAUUUCGGUGUGUAAAGCUCUAUCAGCAGGGAAGAAGAAUGACGGUACCUGACCAAGAAGCCCCGGCUAACUACGUGCCAGCAGCCGCGGUAAUACGUAGGGGGCAAGCGUUAUCCGGAUUUACUGGGUGUAAAGGGAGCGUAGACGGCAAUGCAAGCCAGAUGUGAAAACCCGCAGCUCAACUGGGGGAGUGCAUUUGGAACUGUGUAGCUGGAGUGCAGGAGAGGUAAGCGGAAUUCCUGGUGUAGCGGUGAAAUGCGUAGAUAUCAGGAGGAACACCAGUGGCGAAGGCGGCUUACUGGACUGUAACUGACGUUGAGGCUCGAAAGCGUGGGGAGCAAACAGGAUUAGAUACCCCUGU